AGUCUGGCUGAGCGGAAAUGGACAGCGUCUAUAGCGCCAGCGUCGGAUUCCACCGCUACUCCUCCCCUUCCUGUUGCUGGCUUUUCCGUAUUGUGCUCCCCCUCAAACUCGGAAACGAGUCAGUAUGGCGAGUUUUGAAGAGGACUUUGACGGCGCUGUAAAGCUAGCAUGUUUGGCUCUUUCCGUUGAAAAUUGCAAAGAACUUCAAAAGAUUUGCUUACAGCAUUUCCUGAGGAAGAAAGAUGUUCUUGCACUAUUUCGGAUGGACACCGCUGCUGCUUCCCGGGCCCCUCCCUCCAUCCCCCUCUCCAUGUCAGUGUGCUGGAGCACCGAGGGCGUGGGGGUCUUCUCCCUGCUGCUGCGGGGUGGUCAGCCGCGGGCGCGCCUGCUCUGGACAGCCGGGGCCGCCACCCUCUCGCCCCUGACCUCCAGCGAGACGGAGGAGAUGGGGGACGACGGGCGGCGGGAGCUGCGGAGCGUGUGUGCCCUGCAGCGGGCCGGCCCCGGAGGGGAGGCGCCAGGGACACGGCCGAGUGGAGGACGUGCUCUGAGCAGAGGCGGUAAGACGGCGGUGAGCCCUGGCGACACAGAGGACAUUGAGUACAUGGACCAGAAGGUGGACGGAGAGAACAACAACAAUGUGGAGAGCUGGGCGGGGACCAAGACGCUGUCCGAAGAGGAGAGCCAUGGGGAGGAUGAGGAGAGCGAUGAGGAAGAGGUUGGGCCCGGGGGCCUGCACAUAAACCGGGUGGACGUGAGGACGCCCGCCCGCCAAGUUAGGAGGGGUCUGCGGGUAUGUGUGGAGAUCUCACACCCGGCCCUCGCUCUGCCUGUCUACAGAACAUGGACAGAGUCAAUACAGGAGGAGUCAUCUUCCAUUUGACCAAUUGGAUACCUGAAACAGGGAUGUUUUUUUUUAUAACCUACUGUAUGUAAUGAUAAUGAAGAUAUCACACUGUAGCUGGUCCAUAUUUCCAUCUUUUCCCAUAGGUUAUUUAUUUAUUUGUAUUAUUAAUCCACUGUCUUUGAUAUCAAUAGUUUUUAGUCUGUAUUUUUAUUUUAUUUUUUAGAAUAGUAGUAAUAGUAAUAAUAGUAAUCCUAUUGUUUCGUUAUACGUGUGUGUGUGUGUGUGUGUGUAGAGAGAUUUUAUAAUGUUCAGACUCAUAAUCUAAAGAUACAUGUCCUAGUUUUAUGUGGAAUCCGUUCGGUUUGGGUUUAGUGUAAAAAUACUUUUUUUUUUUACAGAGUUUCUGAUUAAUAAAAGCAACUGACGGUACGCAGGGUCUGGAAAGUCUGUGAAUUAAUGCCACAUGAUGUAUGAAUAAAGUAGUGUGGAU
ensembl:lncRNA